rnacentral:rRNA from 1 species
GAGUUUGAUUAUGGCUCAGGACGAACGCUGGCGGCGUGCCUAAUACAUGCAAGUCGAGCGGAGUUGAAUAAGUGCUUGCACUAAUUCAACUUAGCGGCGAACGGGUGAGUAACACGUAAAGAACCUGCCUCAUAGACUGGGACAACUACUGGAAACGGUAGCUAAUACCGGAUAACAUAUUUUUCCGUAUGGAAGAAUAUUGAAAGUCGGUCAUGCUGACACUAUGAGAUGGCUUUGCGGUGCAUUAGCUAGUUGGUAGGGUAAAGGCCUACCAAGGCGACGAUGCAUAGCCGACCUGAGAGGGUGAUCGGCCACACUGGGACUGAGACACGGCCCAGACUCCUACGGGAGGCAGCAGUAGGGAAUCUUCCGCAAUGGACGAAAGUCUGACGGAGCAACGCCGCGUGAGUGAAGAAGGAUUUCGGUUCGUAAAACUCUGUUGUUAGGGGAGAAUGAUUGUAUAGUAACUAUAUACAGUAGAGACGUACCUAACCAGAAAGCCACG